GCCUACGAUGCCAGUGUUUUUUGUGGUUUUCAGUAUUGAUCAUACCAUGCAGUUUCUUACAAAAAUUAAAAAAAACUGAGUAUAGCCAGAAAAAUAUAUGACGAAACGUAAAAUAUUAAUACUAACAAAGACCAUUGAGUUGCAAGAAGCAGUUCCGAUGUACGUUAGGAGCUCGAGACGUAAACAUGUGUACAGAAUAUAAUGGUCCAAUUUCUCUUUCAGUUGGCUUCCAACAAUCAUUUCAGUGUUGUAUGAUCUGAUAACUGUAAAAUAUCAUCAAACCGGAAUGUCCGAACUUGAUUACUUGUGGUUCCUAGAGG